rnacentral:lncRNA from 1 species
GUUCAAUCUUUGCACCCAGAGGUUGCAGUAAGUCUGGAUGCCACAUCAAACUGUUUGUGGUACUUCUAAACUUCGUGGAAGAGCCCUGUUUCAUAAAUCUGAGACAGCCUUGGUCUGAGGGAGCAAAGACAGAGAAUUCACGUGCUGCCCAGGCAUAGCCACAUAGCAGGUGGACAUCCCUGGACACUUUUCUGACAAAGCACGCAAUGUGGGGACAACACAGAAAUCCAAGAAAGGCAAGACCAAUUUCAAGGCACUAAAUAAGUGGACUGAGACAAGAAGUACACAGAUACUUCCCAGAACAAAACCCUCAUUGGAUUUUCCUGGAAGUACGGAGAGUUACAUCCAGAGAACUCUGAACAUUUUGGAAGGACCCCAAUCCUGCAAACAAUGAAUGGCAAUAAAUCCUGGGACUGGAAAGGGGCUUCUCAACCCCAAGGCAACCAUAAAGUCCUAUACAAAGAAAGAUACAGCAGUGUGAAAGAGGCCUGGAUGAAAAAACAAAGACAGAGCCAGUGAGCCAGAGCCAGAGCCAGAGGACAAGAGAGAAAGGCAGAGAAUGGAAAACACAGACAGAGAAGGCAGAUGCGUAGAGAGACAGAGAUUCAAUGAGAAAAUAAGGAAGGAAGAAAGAAAGAAAACAAAAACGUUCUCAGCACUACAACUUCUGCCUUGUUCUGUUCCAGAACAGUAUGAGCUCAGUACUUUUUCAGACUCUCAAUUUUCUACAACUAAUAAUUUGCUCUUUCAGUUAGUGGCAAAGGCUUAACGACAAAGGUUCAUCUUUAAUAUUAGAGAGGCACUUUUAAAAUUUAUGAUGCUAAGCCUUUUGUUCUGGAUAUGGUAUGUUGCACAGGUCUAGGGACUGGGAUUUCAGAUGUCUAUUCCGUACCCUUAUUCUUUUAUUUAUUAAAUCUUUUAGUGUGUAUUUUUUUCUAUUUUCUCUUCUUUUAUUAGUAUGUAUUUCUUGAGUCAUUAACAUACAACAUAUAUAGGACUUCCUCUGAGGAUACAAUAAUGUAUAUGAUGGACAAGAUACGUAAAAGUGCCUUGAAGAGACUUGGUCUUGUGAGGGGACAGACAGGAAACAGGCAAUUAUCACCUAACUUAGGUCUGUUGUUUCAAGGUAAAAUAAGAAUAAUAACAUCUGUGUUGGCUGGGAUGUUGUGAGUGUUUGUGGAGAUAAUAGUACAAAUGAAAUUACUGAGGGACAAUGGUGAAGAUAGGGCCAUAUCAUGGAGCUUACACUAGUGAUGGAAGGAGAUGGGAGAUACAAAAGCAAGUCAAUAUUUCAGAUUUCGUAAAUGAAUGGCAAGCAUAGAGCAGUGAGGCAGAGAAUGACUGGAGAAAGAGACUAUGUUAAACUGGAUAGUAAAGGAAGAGCAGGACCCCACUAAACUAUAUGGAGUUUUGUGCAAAUCACAUGAACACACGUAGAACAUUUUAGGCUGCUCAUGUGACUUUGGAUUUGUCCUAAGGGCAAUAGUAAGCCUUUGAACUGCUUUAGCAUGAUAGGAUUUUAAAAGAUCACUGGCUGCUGUGUGAACAAAAAUAAUGUUGUAAAGAAAAGGAUAUUAGCUGUAUCAGAUCAGCUGGAGACUACUGAAAUAACCCAAGCUGGCUUGGACUACAUAGGAGUAGUGUAAACUCAUUCAUUCAUGCAAGAAAUACUUACUGAGUGCCUACUCAGUACCAGACCCUUUUCUAGGACAUGGAGUUAUAGCAGUGAACAAUAUAGAAAAAAAUCCCCGAAUUCAUGGAGACUCCAGUGAGCAGAGACAAAAAAAUAGCAACUAAAUAAGUUAAAAGGAAUUGAGUACCCUAUAAAAGUUUAUCAGGGAAAUGUUAUAAGGAAUGACUUUCGGAGUAAUGGGUAGUGAUCUUAAAUGUAUGGUCAAUGAAAAUCAGAAGUUGUAGAGAAGUGGAUAAAUUCACAGUACGUUUUAAAGUAGACCUAAUAAGACUUAAUGAAUUUGAUGUGGCAAGUGAGAAAAAUACAUCAAGGAUGAUGACUUUUAUAAUUUGACUUGAGUAUCUGGGAACAAACAAGUACAGUGCCAUAAUAAGGGCAGAAAAUUUUCCAUUCACUCAGCAACUUAUGAACUCAUUUGCUUAGUCUUUAUUGCCUCUUGCAUUAUGUAGUUUUCACUUUGCUGGAGUACUUGUAUAGAAGAUCACCAGUGAAGAAGCCAGAGAUGGUUUAUUUGGUCAUCCCAAUAAUACAUCUUAUUGUUAAUUAACUCUCAAGGGUUUUUUUUCACAAUUUUAGAAAAGGUUUAAGCAAAUGAAUUAUUUAACAUGAAUUGGCUAUGUGACCCUACUAUAAGGUGUUUAAAACACCAACAGCUUAAACUUCUUAGAUCAAAGGACAUCCUCCAGGCCAAAAUGUUUCCACUGGAACGGUUUCUUUGCUUCCUGAUUAAAAGCUUCCCUAAUAUAUUUCCACGUGUUAUUACAUAUUUUCGUAUUCACUUUGAUGGAAAGCAAGAAUAGCAGCCAAAUACAUAUUUCAUGCAUUCUUUUGAUUAAAAAUGAUAAAGG